rnacentral:rRNA from 1 species
UACAGGAGGUGGCAAGCGUUGUUCGGAAUUACUGGGCGUAAAGGGCGCGUAGGCGGCCUACUAAGUCAGACGUGAAAUCCCCCGGCUUAACCUGGGAACUGCGUCUGAUACUGGAAGGCUUGGAGGAUGGGAGAGGGAUGUAGAAUUCCAGGUGUAGCGGUGAAAUGCGUAGAUAUCUGGAGGAAUACCGGUGGCGAAGGCGGCAUCCUGGGACCAUUACUGACGCUGAGGCGCGAAAGCUAGGGGAGCAAACGGG